UUUUGCUCCUCUCUGCCAAGUUCUAAGCACCAAGGGUGAGUGGGGGGGGGACGGACUCAAAAAGCAAAACCAACGGAAAGCAACAGAGCAGGAAAGUUGGACUGAGACAACCCUCCAUCUAGAUAUUAUUUGACGUUUUAGGACUGAUGGUGGGUAGAGAUAAAAGGUCUAUAAAUAUCCUGUCUGAGAAUUUCACAACAAUAUCACCUGUCAACCCCUCAGCUGAACAAAUAAGUUAAAUUCUUCAAAUAAUACGCUGCAUAAUUACAGAUUACAUUCUUGUGCCAUAUGGAAUGAAGGACUGAUCACUGCAAAAGACAUUAACCUUUUCUGUUCAAUUGAAAGAUGCUCUAGCCUUGGGAAGGUAAAUGGCAUAUGCAGCUGCUGCUGCUGCUGAAUCAUUCUAGUUCCAAGACAGGAUUGAGCAAAACACCAAGAUGGUUAUCUGACGCUAACCCGAUCAGACAGCGGGAUCUUUCAACACGUUUUGAAGCUCUGUCAGUGUUCAGCUCUAUUUAAUAAAUUACCAAGGAGCUUUUCUCCUUUGCUGCAGGGCUCAUAAUGAAGUUCUGAGAUUCUCAUUAUUGUCAAUUACCUGGCGUCUUUAUUUAUUUAUUACAAAUAGGAACAUCAGUUUACAAAGUGUUUUUUAGAAUGUUUGGAGCUUGGAGGUGUCAGUCCUCAGAAUCUGUCUCUAAGACAUUGAUAUGAUGGAGGGAAACAAGCAUUGAACGGCAGGAUUACAGAAAUAAGAUACAUGUGAUUGUUUUGCUGCCUGACUGUUGGAUAGCCUCACAGUAUAUGCAUCGGGGUUCUUUUUGUUCCAGCGCAAACAAAUAUCUGUAGAUAAGGCCCUUAUCUUGGACAGCUUUGAUGGUGGCCAAUACAUUUUGAAUAAAACCUUUUAUUGUAUCAAACAGCGUGAGAGCCACAGAAGUAUUUUUAACAUUCUGUAAAAUGCUCUUCCAUUGGCGUUCUUUUAAGGUCUCUGAUAAAUCUCCUCCUUGUGCUUUCACAAAGAACUCCUCCUAGAUAUUACCAUGAUGGAUUCAUUAGGAGUUCAAUAUACCCCCAUGAGGGGAAAUCCCUAAGCGUGGGAUUUCAUUAACAGGACAACUGCUGUAUUUUUAUUGUCUGAGAUAAGUUACAGUAAAGGCUGUUCAGAAUCUGUUGGGAAUUUAUUAGCAUAUUGGCAUUUAUCCAGCUGCACUUCAUGAAAGUAAUGGGAAAUGGUGGUGGUACACGGCCCUUGUAUAAAGUGUUUGUUAUGAAAAUGGAGUUCUUCGGAGAUCUGUAGGAGGGCUGAGUGUACUCACCUCACUAAUACUCAUUUCUCAUGGCUCUCUUUCCGAGUCAUCAGUCCAAACAAUUUGUAAUUGAUUAACUAUUUGUAUAUGUUUACAUCAUAAGGUCUAGUAGUUAUGGCACAGGCCUGAGCAUCAGGCCAUCUGCCUCCUGCUCUCCUAUACUUGCUAUGUGAUUUGGACCAAGACACUUGGGGGGGUGGGGGGUGUUCCUGUCUGUAAAAUGGGGGUGAUUACAAACUGCCUGUCAGGUAGGAGUUAUCUCCUCAAAGAAGGGCUGCCUUUGUCGUAAUAACAGAAAAUAUUUCUUGCUGCUCUAGUCCAAGGAUUUCAAAGCUCUUUAUGAAUAAUGAGUAAGCUGCAUGGCACCCUGUAAGGCAACCACUAAAAUUAUUCCCCCCCCCCCCCCCAUUUUAUUGAUCAGGAAACUGAUGCACAGAGAGGCUACCUUGUUUACACAAAGUUGCACAAGUCAGUGACAGAACUGAGAAUAGAACUCCUGAUCUGUUCUAAACACUAGACCAUGAUCCAUCCCAUGCAGGGAGGAGGAAGAGGGAGCUGUAGUGAGUAUGAAUAUAUCAACAUUAAGCAUAGUGUAGUUAUAUUUGCCAUUUAUCACAUGCACCUAUCAUCCUCUAUGUAGAUCUGAAAUAAUAAUAAUAAUAAACAAAAAUACUAAUGCAGCCAGAGUAACUCUCCCACUGUUAGGUCUUCCAAACUCCAAAAAGCCAUAUGUCUUUUUAAUUAACUACAGUGAUGUUAACUAGAUCAGAAGAACAAGAAAAAUAAAGUACUAACAAAAAUGAAUGGAGCUGGCAGAAUGGGUGGAUCCUUACUGACAAGAUACAUCCGCUCAUUCCAUUCUGGAAUUCAGGUUCCCAAACCAUUCCAGCUGGCAAGAUUUUUAAUUCUAGUGCACAGAAUGUUAGCCCUUUAAAGGAGCAGUAAUUAUACGGAGUCAACCUCAGGUCUUAAAAGUUCCAUCCACCACACUUACCAAACAAAGAGCCCCUCCAUCCGGUUCAAACACUCCACUGAAUGAAGUCUGGAGAAACAGAUAAGUCUUGUAGUCUGCACUGAGGUCAACACACCUACUUAGACGGGAAGCUCUUUGAGGCAGGCACCAUUUUUUUCAUUGUAUUUUACAUUACCAAGGCUAAUGCUAAUUUCUUAGCUUCCUCUGUAGUAAUUAUGACUUGACCACCAGAACAGAGACCAUCUUGGACCAGUUUCAAGAUUUCAGCCUCAUUUAUUUCCCUGCCAAAUAUUUUUUUAUCUGCCACCAGGGUAAGUUGCACUGUAAAUUCAGUCUGUACAGCUGUAGAAUUUGCACCCCUGUUUCUUACAAAUCUACUGGUCCGGGCUUGUGUUAAUGUAGCAAGAAUAAUUAACUGAGAAAACAAAGCUGUUGAGUGAGAGAUACCACACAGCAAGUAUGCAUAAUUCUGUGUGUCUGUACAUACUGUGUGUUUGAUUAGCUAUUUUGACUGUUAUGGAUUGUUGUUAGAAACAAAUCUUAAUUAAAUCUAAAUGUUACUUGUGCCA